ensembl:lncRNA
GUACACAUAUAUAAUUUAUUAAUAAUUUAAUGAUUUAAUGAUUGAUGAGUGAUUUCUAUGUCAAAAGGCAAAUUGUCCUGGCUUUACGCAACAGCACAUGGGGAAACCCGAUGAUGCAGUUGUGUUGAACAAAAGUUAUAUCCCACAUUAUGAUUGCAAAAACAUUUUCUUUGAACAGCCCGUAUCAAAAUGCUGCUGUAGCCCUCACUCCCUUCACCCUUGUGACCCUCCUCUUCGGUGGAGCGUUUGGGCACGACACCCAGCGAGCUCACAGCAUGAGGUAAAAUCCAGGAUGGCAAAAAGGAAGUGGAAGAUGUAUUCAGGGCCCAGGACUGUACCAAGUGUGAUAAAGUACAGAGGAUGGAUUGGCUGUUUUAAAGUUUCCAGAGUGGAAGAGAUGUCCUACCCCACACCCAGUAUGAGUAAAUGGGUUGACUGUACUUCUGCCUCACCCAGAAAACAUCACUGGUCAUAUUUUAAUAAUCCAAACCCAAACCUUUGAUUGGAUUCUGGCAUCCUUCUGCUUUCACUGCCUUCAGUCUUCACGUGAACGCACACGCAAAGCUGAACUCCCCAGGCUGAACGCUGGUCGAUGGUGGCAGCAGUUAACAGGUAAUAGGGAUUGAGAGCUGCAUGAAUCAGAACUAAUUACCUUAAAUAGCCACAGCCCCGGGCUUAUUUUUCCAGUCCACGUCUCUCCAAUUUG